AAGAGAAAAAUCAGCAUUCAGUAAAAUGCGCUUUCCGUCAACUCUCUUUGUUUUCUCUCUAAAUUGCAGCUAAAGAAAAAGCAGCGAUAAAGCGAUUUGAAUUUCAGUACAAUUUGAGCGCGCGUGAAAGUGGGUUGAAUAGUAUUAGAUUUGGUAAAACUUGAGUUGAAUUAUUUGAAACAAUUGUUGAAUUAUUUAUGAAAACAAAUAUUUCCUGUACAAGAUUUCUUGUCACACUACUAAUGAAUUAACAAAUACUGAAAUGAAAAAAAACUACGUAAGUAAACAAAGUUAAAUAUAUAUGUAGUUACGCUUAGUGUUGAAAAUUCUUAGUCACUGCUAAUUCCAUGACUACAUGGAAUAAAUGCAAAUUCUAUAAACAAAUCAAACGGAAAUUGACUUGAAUCGCGUAAAAUAUAAUGUAAACACACCGAAAGACGCGUUGAGAAAUCCGCGAUCCAGGAAAUAGUGGACGUGAGGCAAAAAUGCACUACGCAAGUUGUUAAAAUAGAAGAAACAACAAGCAAGUUAAACGCAAUCAGAACUAAACCAAUAAAAAGGCAAAUAAGGGUAUAAUGUCAUGUGUGUAAACAAGCUCCAAAGCAAAACGACAUCAACAACACAAAAAGCAUUUCUGCACAAUCGCACAACAGCAAAAAAAACAUAAGUAUCUGUGCACGGAGCAAUAACCGCUGCUAAGUAGCCAAUUUGUGGGUGGUAGAGUGUAAAAUAAUCGCGUCUGCUGAAUAUAGUGCUUGGUGCACAUCAAACAGCGACAGAAAUAGUAGUCGACAUAAGAUAUACUUAAGUGGAUUCACACUCGCAUUACGCGUCACUCACCGGCUGCUUCAGCGGAUGCAUCAACACAUCAGAGGGCAACGAACUGUUGAUUGGAAUACAUUGAUUGCGCUAACUCCCCAGUUGCAAACAAUAAAUGAAAUGGCGCUAUUAAAAUUGGCUAGGUGAGUAACUAGAAAGACACCUGAGGACCUAUGAAUCAAAAUAUGUAAUGAAAUAAUCCCAAUUACUAAUACACAUGUAAGUACAAAAGUGUUCAAUUGGCACGAUUACGAUUUCUUUGGUGUGUUAAACAUAGUGAUAUACCGUGCAUAACUUAUGCAACUUUUGAACUUUAAAUACAAAUAUCUCGAAAACAAUAAGUCUGAAACGGGUAUACAUAUGUAAAUACAUACAUAUUUUAAUCCUGAAAACCUCCUCUAUCAUGCAACAUAAGUGCAGUUUUCUACUUGUCCACCACUAUAUACAUACAUAUGCUAACGUGCUUUUAGGUGUAUCUGCACUUAUUUCUGUUUUUCAAUAUCAUUCAUGUAAUUUUACUUGUGUAUGUACGUAAGUCAUGGAACGUGACUGCUUGCACAUGCACCAUAGCAACCCAUACCAUUAUCAGAAUUAUAGUUCCAUUAGCCGGCACUAACAACUUCAAGCCGAUCGAUCUUUUCACAAACUUCUUUGCAGCAGCUUGGCAGCAUUCUCUUUGUUUGAAAACUUUUUUUUCUGUCAAGCUAGACUUCUGCAUUUCUAGGAUAGGAAAUUAGGUAGUGCAGUAAAAAUUCACCAUUCUAAGAAUUGGAAUAUUCCUCAAUACAGGUCUAUGGCUUCUCUGAAGGUAACGACUCCUUCCUUCGUCGUAUUUUGCAAGUACAGUGGUCGCCCAAUAUAUCGAUUCUUAUUUUGUACACCUACAGUGAGCCAAAAAAAACUUGUACAGCGAGAUGGUUUGUCUUUGAAGUGACUUAUUUUCUAAACUAUUAAAACUUUUGAGUUACAUCAAAAAGUGAGAAAAGUGCCGUUUUAAUAAUUUUCAUGAUGUAAUUGAAAUAGAUUUUUAAAAAUCCAGUUUUCUACAAAAAAUUAAAAAAUCCAAAAUUACUUCAUUUUCGAAGACCGAAAAAAACUUGUACAGUUUGCAUAAAUGGACAUUUUUACACUCUAUAAAGAUAAUUGAUACAUUAUAGUAUGUAUAUAUUGUACUGUUAUUCAUAGAAUACACCAAACUCUGUGUAAGUUCAAAAGAUUUGACCACAUUUCCUAAAGAGCAGCCAUAACCUCAUUUUUGCUAUAAACUUUGUCCUCUCGUAACUUCCUCUCCACAUACGGUGUUAAAAGGGAUUAAAGUCUUGACUCUAUGGAGAAUGUGGCAGCACUUUUUUCACGUCGUACGUACCAUUCCUUAACCACCAAAGCAGAAUACAUCGGGUAGUUAUCCUGCAUAAAGCAGUAGCCUCCAUUUAAAUUCGGCUUAGCUGUUGACGAAGUCAAAUUAUUUUUUUUUAAUAUUACCUAGUAUUUCAUUCUUUACAUAAUUCCAUGGAAUGCACCACACAAUGAAGCCUGCUGACAGACUUAAGUAUGUAUUUAAUUUUUUUUUGUUGUUGCCAUACAAAUCGACGACCAUCAUCCACGGUCCAAAUACAUAUUUACAUAUGUAAGUACAUUGGGAGGAGCAAAAACAAUUUUUUUUUUAAUAAGUCUGGGUGUAAAAAAAAAAAUAUAUUGUUUUAAUGUAGUUAUAUUAAAUUUCGACUCAUAGGUGAAAAUAACUUUAAAUACUUUAUAUAAAAACCAAUUUAUUUGAUAUUCUUUACAAAACAUUAGGCAUGUAGUUUUUCGGAAAUAAAAGUGAAUAUAUAGUGCAAAUAUAUACAGUGUCGGGCAAAACUAAAGCACGAAGUUCACCUUGUAAAUAUUUCAUUAAAAACAAAAUGUAAAAUUUAUUAUUUUUUUAUGAAUAUAGUAGUUUUUAUGAAUAUAGUAGUUUUAUAUGUUUAAAACAAAAAUUUAACAAAUAAGAUUUUGACAUACAAAAAUUUCGCAUAAUAUGUAUAUUUGCUGCGACAAAACUAAGGCACUAAACUGUAUUUACUUAUUUAUUGACCCUAAUUUCAUCAAGUCCCGUUAAAACUCCAACUAUAGUUAAAAAAGUUUAAAUAUCUACCUAUAUUUUACUUGUUUUCUUUGAAUCGAUUAGUUUAUUUAACGAUUUUUAGGUUGUUACUUGCCGUUAUUUUAAGACCGUGUUGGAGUAAUUUUAAUACAAUUACAUUAGUCAUUUGUGAUCAACCGAUAGUGUUGCUUCGUAAUAAAAACAAAAUAUUAGUAAAAGGCGCGUAAUAAGUAUUCAGUACUAUAUAAGGAAAACAUUAUUAGCGAUUUUGAAAACGAAUUAUAAGUCGUUUUCGUUCUUCGGGCUGUCUAACCACAUUUCAUGGAGAUGGCAGACCUCAUAAAACUACUAGCCGUGAGGAUAUGGUGAGCUCCACAAAAAGAGAUCUUUUAAUGUCAGCUAGAUCAGUCCAGAGCGAAUUGGGCUUGAGUAUUUCAUACAGGUCCACCCAUCGACGAUCUGUAGAAAAUAACUUUAUAACAUGCAGAAGUGCCAAAAAUCCUUACAUUUCGCACAAAAAUCGAAAAGCUCGGCUUAAAUUUGCAAACGCUCACGCUAACUGGAGGAUUACAAAAUAUAGGAGUGUACUUUUUUCUGAUGAGUCUAAGUACAAUAUUAAUGAAUCUGAUUGAUUACAGCUGGUACGAAGACCAAAAGGUCAACGUUUGAAUCCGCGUUAUUCACAAGGUACUGUGAAGCAUGAAGGAGGUAAGAUGUUUCUCAGGUCAUGGAGUAGGUCUGAUCCAUCAAAUUAAUGGCAUAAUGGAUCGUUUUAUGUACAAAAACAUCCUUCAAAAUGUUAUGCUUCCUUAUGCUGAAGUGGAAAUGCCGUUAAAAUGAAACUACCAACACGAUAAGGAUCUGAAGCACACGGCCAAAUGUGUAAAGAAUUGGUUUAUUUCCAAUAAAAUAGUAGUUUUGAAGUGGCCCGCGCAAUCACCUGAUCUCAAUCCCAUAGAGGACCUAUGGAUAAUUGUAGAACGGAAAAUUAAGCAGGAAAAUUGUAAAACACGGACUCUCUCUUUACCCAAGUAGCACGGAGAUGGAAAAACAUUUCUGAAGACAUUUUAAACAAUUUAAUUAAAUAUAUGCCACGCAAAUGUGAAACCGUCAUAAAAAACAAUGGAUAUGCCACCAAAUAUUUAAAACAAAUACUUUAAUUUUUUAACUAUAUGUAAUGGGCUUUAUUUAGUCGUAUCUAUGUUAUGUAUAUUGUUAAUCUUUAAGUCAUAUUAAAGUAUAAAGUGAAUUAAUAUGUUACGUUUUUUAAUACAUCAAUAAAAUUUUAUAUUUUUGUGAAAUAAAAUAAAAAAAAUAUUAAUUUUAUAACAGUAAAUAAAUUAUUUGCAGCUAAAUGGUAAUAUGAUAAAUUUCGUACUUUAGUUUUGCCCGACACUGUAUAUAAACAAAACAAUACGGUCGAAUAGAAUAUCCAUUGAAAAAAGUCUGCGUACAAGGCAGAUAAGUCGAAUAAAUUUAUUCUUCCUACGAAUCCUUAAAAUCUCAAAGUUUUAAAACUUCCGCUAAGAGUUUUGGCAGGAAUAUACAAGCUCGGAGGUUUCUGCCGAAGGGAUGUGAGCCAAUUCCUCGUGCAGUGUAUCCUCAAGCAUAUCUUUUGAGGUAAUUAUGUGUUGCCGGAUUUUACAUACCAGUGAAUCCCAUAGGCACUAUUUAGGAUUAAAAUCUGGUGAUUCUAGUGGUGUUUGAAGCUGCUUGGCAACGUUGUAGAGUAACUAAAGCUUAACUAUGUCUGCUGUACGCUUCAAGUCAUUAUCCUGUAGAAAAUAGGAGUCACUUCCAGGACCGAAUUCUACCGCUCUUUGCUUCAAAUUUAUUUUUAAGAUAUAAAGGUAUGCAUAUUUAACCAUGGUGGAGGCUAUAAAGUCCAUUUGGUCCACGCAGUUACUAGCUAUGCACCCACAUAUCAAUGCUUCUUCACCACCGUUCUUCAUAGUAUGCAUCAGGAUUUCAUUAUCGUGUGCCGGGCCCAUUAUUUGCCCUAAAGUCUUACGCCCCUUGAUUCCAAAGACCCAAAACAUGCUGUUAUCGAAAAAAAUAACUUUUUGCCAAAACUCCCAAGGCUUAUUUAAGUGCUCUUUCGCGACAAUAUUAUGCAUUUACCUAUUGACUAGCGAUAUGAAUGAGUUCUUGUGUGCAACUUGACCAUAAAACCCUGUUUUUAAACCCUGAACAGGAUAUAUUAAAAAACUUAGGAUCCCGUUGAGGCAUAAACCAUUCUAGAAAAUUUACUGUUUUUAAGGGACUUACGUACUGAUUUCGUGCGAUGCAUUUUUGAACUUUUUCCUCGAUUUUAAAUUUAUAUAUUAAACUGAAAAUUCGUUGUUUCGAAAGUUCUUUAUAGUGGACGACCAUAACCUAUACUCGCAUUUUCUAUAAUCGAAAUUAUUUCAUUUUCAUUAUAUGAAAUUAACUGCCGUUCCUCACUCUCUCUAACCUGCCAAUUAAGUUGGAAAACCAUUUGUCAUGCCCACUUGGACAUCCUUCUCAUCAACUUCUCAUAUUGAUCAAGCAAAAUCUCCGACUCUAAACAAAGAGGGUUAAUAAUUCGCAGAAAAUAAUAUUAAAUAUCACUUAAUGAACAAUUUGCGAAAUUCAUAUGCUCAAAUCACGUUCAAGAGUGUGUCACGUGUGGUUAAUGAGCCAAAGCGUAGAAUUUGCCGUUAAAGAUGCCGCCAUUAAUAAAAUAAAAAAACAUUAACGGAUUUAAGGUACAAUUUGCUAAAAAAAAAGGAAAAAAGAAAUAUGGCUGAGCACAUAUUGGUCAACAAGUUGUUCCUUGCUUCACAGUUAAGUAGAACUUUAAAACAUUAUGUAAGACAAAUAACGCCAAAAAGCCAAAUAUAAUACAUCUACUAAGACAUAAAUACUAUAUAGGUCUCAGUAUCGGCAAUUUCUUAGCGGUGUGUAUUAUCUUGAGGGUUAAGAACAGGAAAAAUUCGAUGGGGCCACAUCCGAGAACUGUGGCAUAGUAUAGUUGCUUGCGUCACAAGUGUCAUAUGAACUGCCACCAAUUUCGCAGCUGUCUCAUUUUCAUUAAACACACUCAUUUACAUAGCAACCCCGUUAGUAUAAUUGCAAGCUGUUUAAUUGUUGAGCGAGUGCUAUUCGGGCACCAAGCUGUUAACUUAAUCAGCUGGUUUCGUUUACUUAUUUUGCCGCACGAGUGUUUUAUUCUUUGCAAUGCCCUUUUUAUAUGUUUAUCUCUACAAUCCUAUUUACUUAUGAUUUUCAUUGUAAUUAUUGAAAUCUUUACAGUGUAUUCUAACGCGAAACGCUACAUGAUAUGGCCUCGCUUCGCGGUCAGUGAACUAUAUACACGUAUGUCAACAGUUGAAUGCUAAUCGUGACAAAUAAUAUUUAUUUAUGUUACACAUUCCCCAUAAUGUUACCUUUUUAUUGAUUCCUAAGUGUCAAUGUAUGGGCCUGAUAAUCAGUAGUCUUUGCAAUCCAUCAGCAAUUGAAAAUAACAGAAACCUCUUUCAAUUAGCAAAUAUUAUGCUAAGUAGGUUCUUAUCCUUUUCAUCCUCUCGUAUUUCGUAUAGACUUCAAUACUGACCUAUGUAUACGUAAAGUUUUAUUUGUAACCUACUUUCAACAUAAUCGUUAUAUUGGGCAUUGGCGUGGUUAUCAUCUGAUUUAAACUGUUUUCACAGUGCAUAAAGAAGUGUUCCAAGGACUUCUUUCUUAGCAAGUUUAGUGAAACAGCUCUAGUGGUUUGUGAAAUACUUUAACUUUUUUCUCUGUACCAAAAGCAAGUACCCUCACAAUACUUGUAGUUUAAUCAAAUUGCACUUAUCAAUAAUCAGAGAGCUUAUCGAGGUACAGUCCUCAGUAUCGAUAGUGUCAAACUAUAUGUGGUGCUCUGUGCCGUGCGUUGCGUUCGCAAUCCUAAGUAAUUAGUUUAUAAGUAAUUUUAAAAAUGCAACUCUGUCACAUAUGGUUACAAGAAUUAAUAAAGCUACUGCUCUUCCCUUUUCAUCGUCAACACUCAACCGCCUCGGACGUGCCUUUUUUCUUCCAUCCUUACAUUGACCCGAACGUUUUUUUAAAAUCAAGUUUUAUUUAAUCAAUUACGCGCACAUUUUUUAAUGAAUCCCAACGAUAGCUCGAUCGUAACGGAUGGAGGAAGCUUAGCGAAAAAUGUUUCUACGUAUAAUAUUUUGCCACGGCUUCCAUUGCCAGCGAUGUCCGAGGAUAACAUCGAGGCCUAUUUUUAUUCGCUAGACUUCUGGUUCGAAGCAUCGCAUAUUGUCAGCGACGCAGCGAAAUUUAACAUCGUGCUUGCAAGCGUUCCUUCAGCGAAGUUGAUAGAAUUGCGAACACUAAUCGAGGCUGCGCCCGCUGAUGGAAAAUACAACUACAUCCGACAGAAAUUAGUAGAGAAUCUUACGGAAAGUCAGCAGUCUUCACCGAGUCUUUAAAGAGCUUUUGCUGGGUGAUCGCCGUCCCAGUGAAUUAUACAACGAUAUGAGACGCACUGCAGAUCCAGCAUCCUGCAUGAUCUUUGGGUCAGCCGACUGCCACCCUAUACACAGGUGGCUACCAUAUCAUCGCAACGAGUGUUCCCAUCAACGAAAAACUCAAAAUUGCAGAUUCAAUCACCGAAUGUUUGGCCAUGAAGCAGGGGCAAAUUUGUGAGGUUAGCGCGGAAUUCCAGUCCUCGUGCGAUUUUUCUCGCCUACAAGCCGAAAUCGCUGUUUUGUCGAAACGUGUCAGCCGACUUUUAGAUAACGACAGGGGCCGGCGGCGCGGCAGGUCUGUAUCGCGUAACAGAUCAAUAGAUCGCAAUUCGCAUAACCCUUGCUGGUAUCAUGCCACUUUCGGCAAUAAAGCUACCAAAUGCCGUCAGCCAUGCUCACACGCACAGUCGGAGCCAGCAAAUCACUCACAAUAGGCAAGCUCAGCUAAUUCAGUAUCAGAAACAGGCAAACACUCUGAUACUAAAAGCACUUACCGACUUUGCAAUUAUGACACGACAGCCAACAUGAAGUUUUUGAUCGAUUCAGGUGCAGAUGUGUCCGUCAUUCCAAAGUCGGGAAAGUUAGCUCGAGCAUGUCCAACUUCAACAAAUUUGUUUGCCGCGAACGGUUCACCCGUUUCUAGCUAUGGAGAGGUUAGUCUCAAACUCAACCUUAAUUUACGUCGCGAAUUUCUAUGGCGCUUUAUUAUAGCCGACGUUUCGCAAGCCAUUUUGGGUGCCGACUUUCUCGGUCAUCACGGCUUAAUUAUUGACUUACAAGGUCAGCGCCUCUUAGAUCGCACAACUUUACUCAACGCACAGUGCUCAUUGACGAAACUUACAUCCGCGAGAAUUUCUACAAUCAACACAACUCAUUCUCAGAGAAUUUGCCGAAAUCACCCGUUCCACACCAUUGGGCGCUCGAACAAAGGCAUCCGUAAACCACCACAUAACCACGACCGGCCAGCCUACCAGCACGACCACGACGUCUAUCGCCAGAGAAGCUAGCAGCUGCUCGUUCGGAAUUUGAGCUGUUAAUAAAACUCGGUAUUUGUCGUCCUUCCGAUAGCAAUUGGGCCAGCCCGCUGCAUUUAGUACGCAAGGCGGACGGAUCAUGGAGGCCAUGUGGAGAUUACAGGGCUUUGAACGCCGUGACUGUGCCAGACAGAUAUCCGCUGCCGUUCCUGCAAGAUUUUUCUACAGUUUUAGCAGGUAAAAUUGUAUUUUCGAAAAUUGAAGCAUAAAGAACACCUCCGUUUAGCUUUCAACCGCUUAAAAGAAUACAACCUAACCGUCAACGUUGUCAAAUCGCAGUUUGGAGUAGCAGAACUAGAAUUUCUGGGUCAUUCGAUCACGAAAGAUGGCAUCCGUCCACUGCCUAGCCGCGUUCAAGCUUUGACGAAUUUUGAAUUGCCAACCGUCGCAAAACAGCUAAAGCGUUUUUUAGCGAUGCUCAAUUUUUAUCGCAGCUUUAGACAAUCAAGGACCACUCUUUGCAAUGAUACCAGCCAACAAGAAAAACGACAACACCAAACUGCUGUGGACCGAGAGUGCAAUCCACCACUUUAAAACGUGUAAAACCCAGCUCGCGAAUUGUGCUAUGCUAGCGCAUCCACUACCGCAUGCAGAACUCUCUCUGUGGGUAGACGCUUCGGAUUUUGCAGCCGGCGCCGUUCUGAAUCAGAUUGUUGACGGUGCUCUGCAGCCACUAGGAUUUUUUUCCACGCAAGUUUACGCCCGCAGAAACACGCUACAGCACCUAUGACUGCGAGUUGACCGCAGUUUACUUCGCGAUGCGCCACUUUCGUUACAUAGUAGAAGAUCGUGUUUGCCAUGUGUACACCGACCACAAACCACUCAUCUUUGCCUUUCACCAACACUUGCAUAAAGCUUCAGACAGACAAGCCAGACAACUGGACUUCGUAUCCCAGAUUACAACUGAUAUUCGGCAUGUUAAAGGCGAAGACAAUGUAGCAGCCGACCUGCUCUCGCGAAUACAAUCGCUCACCGCUGUUUCGAUCAACUAUGAUGAGCUUGCUGAUGACCAAGCUAAUGACGAGGAAUUAAACUCAUACUUAAACAAUACGAUUUCCCAUUCUCUUAAAUUAAGAAGUUUUGUUUUACCUUCAGGUUCGAAGAAAGUUGUUUGCGACCCUUCGACAGGCCGUAUCCGCCCUUUUAUAACAGCGAGGUUCCGUCAAGCCUUUCUUCAAGCCACACACAAUCUAUCACACCCUGGGAUGCGCGCCACUGCUAAAUUAAUGGUUGAACGUUUUGUGUGGCCGGGAAUUCAACGCGACAGUAAGUUGUUUGUUAAAAAUUGCGCUCAGUGUCAACGCAGCAAAAUCAUUCGCCACAAUAGAAGUUUGUUACAACGCAGGGAGAGCCCCAGUCAACGCUUUGGCCACUUGCACAUAGACAUAGUUGGCCCCUUUCCAUUGUCGGAGGGCAACAGAUAUUGCUUAACUUUAAUCGACCGCUUCACUUGUUGGCCAGACGCAGUACCAAUAUCUAACAUGACAGCACCAGUUGUUGCCAAGGCUUUGCUCAGUGGCUGGAUAGCCAUUGGAGUACCCAUCGACAUCACGUCCGACCUCGGUCGCCAAUUUGAGAGCGCGUUAUUCCACGAGCUCCUGCAAUGCCUUGGAGUUUCACACCUGCGAACUACACCAUAUCACCCACAGUGUAAUGGGCUGAUUGAAAGGUGGCAUUGCACACUAAAAUCCUCAAUUUUAUGUCACAACGUAGACAAAUGGACAGCCUAUCUACCAGUCAUCCUGCUGGGUCUCCGCUCAGCCUUUAAAGACGACAUCGGUUGUUCACCUGCAGAACUAGUUUAUGGAACUGUGCUUCGUUUACCGGCCGAUUUUUUCACUAGCAACGGUCGCACUUGCAACGAAACAGAGUUAGUACAAGAGUUACGACACAUCAUGAAUGAAAUUCGCCCAGUUGAUCCCGUUUGGCACUCUUCACAAAAGACAUUCGUUCACAACAGUCUCAAGUCAUGCCAUCAAGUCUUCUUUCGAGACGAUUCCAUCCGACCAUCGUUACCAGCACCCUACAAAGGACCAUUCAAGGUUAUCAAUCGUACGCCGAAAUAUUUUAUCAUCGAGGUCAACGCUAAUAGAAUUAAAGUCUCCAUCGAUCGUCUAAAGCCCGCCUUCAUCGCGCCUCCUACGACUCUUUAGGAAGGGGAUACUGUGGUGCUCUGUGCCGUGCGUUGCGUUCGCAAUCCUAAUUAAUUAGUUUAUAAGUAAUUUUAAAAAUGCAACUCUGUCACAUAUGGUUACAAAAAUUAAUAAAGCUACUGCUCUUCCCUUUUCAUAGUCAAUACUCAACCGCCUCGGACGUUCCUUUUUUCUUCCAUCCUUACAUAUAUAUUGUGAGCGAAAUUUCACUUUUGACUUGAUAAUAACGAGCCAAAGGCUAAUGUCGCGUCGAUGAAACCGGAACGAAGGCGGUUUUAUAACUGGGUAAGGCGUAUCAUUCGGCAACCCGGAAGACUUUGAAACAAUUACAUAUAAGGCAACUCGGUCUUCUUGAAACCAUAUACGUGGAUGAAGGGAACGGGGCUGACAAAAACAAUGCAUCCAGUUACUUAACUAAG